rnacentral:rRNA from 1 species
UGGGGAAGUAUUGCGCAAUGGGCGAAAGCCAUGACGCAGCAACGCCGCGUGCGGGAUGAAGGCCUUCGGGUUGUAAACCGCUUUCAGCAGGGACGAAAUUGACGGUACCUGCAGAAGAAGCCCCGGCCAACUACGUGCCAGCAGCCGCGGUAAUACGUAGGGCGCGAGCGUUGUCCGGAAUUAUUGGGCGUAAAGAGCUCGUAGGCGGUUUGUCGCGUCGGCCGUGAAAUCUCCACGCUUAACGUGGAGCGUGCGGUCGAUACGGGCAGACUUGAGUUCGGUAGGGGAGACUGGAAUUCCUGGUGUAGCGGUGAAAUGCGCAGAUAUCAGGAGGAACACCGGUGGCGAAGGCGGGUCUCUGGGCCGAUACUGACGCUGAGGAGCGAAAGCGUGGGGAGCGAACAGGAUUAGAUACC